GACGAACGCUGGCGGCGUACUUAACACAUACAAGUCGAACGGUAAGGCCCUUCGGGGUACACGAGUGGCGAACGGGUGAGUAACACGUGGGUGAUCUGCCCUGCACUUCGGGAUAAGCCUGGGAAACUGGGUCUAAUACCGGAUAGGACCACUGCCUGCAUGGGUGGUGGUGGAAAGCUUUUGCGGUGUGGGAUGGGCCCGCGGCCUAUCAGCUUGUUGGUGGGGUGAUGGCCUACCAAGGCGACGACGGGUAGCCGGCCUGAGAGGGUGACCGGCCACACUGGGACUGAGAUACGGCCCAGACUCCUACGGGAGGCAGCAGUGGGGAAUAUUGCACAAUGGGCGCAAGCCUGAUGCAGCGACGCCGCGUGAGGGAUGACGGCCUUCGGGUUGUAAACCUCUUUCAGCACCGACGAAGCGCAAGUGACGGUAGGUGCAGAAGAAGGACCGGCCAACUACGUGCCAGCCGCCGCGGUAA
rnacentral:rRNA from 1 species